GAUGAACGCUGGCGGCGUGCCUAAUACAUGCAAGUCGAGCGAACGGACGAGAAGCUUGCUUCUCUGAUGUUAGCGGCGGACGGGUGAGUAACACGUGGAUAACCUACCUAUAAGACUGGGAUAACUUCGGGAAACCGGAGCUAAUACCGGAUGAUAUUUUGAACCGCAUGGUUCAAAAGUGAAAGACGGUCUUGCUGUCACUUAUAGAUGGAUCCGCGCUGCAUUAGCUAGUUGGUAAGGUAACGGCUUACCAAGGCAACGAUGCAUAGCCGACCUGAGAGGGUGAUCGGCCACACUGGAACUGAGACACGGUCCAGACUCCUACGGGAGGCAGCAGUAGGGAAUCUUCCGCAAUGGGCGCAAGCCUGACGGAGCAACGCCGCGUGAGUGAUGAAGGUCUUCGGAUCGUAAACCUCUGUUAUUAGGGAAGAACAUAUGUGUAAGUAACUGUGCACAUCUUGACGGUACCUAAUCAGAAAGCCACGGCUAACUACGUG
rnacentral:rRNA from 1 species